rnacentral:snRNA from 1 species
AUUUUCACUUUGGCAGCACAUAUAUAUUAAAAUUGGAAUAAUACAGAGAAAAUUAGCAUGGCCCCUGUGUAAGAAUAACAUGCAAAUUCAUGAAGUGCCAUAAUUUUAA